GAUGAACGCUGGCGGCGUCCCUAAUACAUGCAAGUCGAGCGAACAGACGAGGAGCUUGCUCCUCUGACGUUAGCGGCGGACGGGUGAGUAACACGUGGAUAACCUACCUAUAAGACUGGGAUAACUUCGGGAAACCGGAGCUAAUACCGGAUAACAUGUUGAACCGCAUGGUUCAACAGUGAAAGACGGUCUUGCUGUCACUUAUAGAUGGAUCCGCGCCGCAUUAGCUAGUUGGUAAGGUAACGGCUUACCAAGGCAACGAUGCGUAGCCGACCUGAGAGGGUGAUCGGCCACACUGGAACUGAGACACGGUCCAGACUCCUACGGGAGGCAGCAGUAGGGAAUCUUCCGCAAUGGGCGAAAGCCUGACGGAGCAACGCCGCGUGAGUGAAGAAGGUCUUCGGAUCGUAAAACUCUGUUAUUAGGGAAGAACAAAUGUGUAAGUAACUAUGCACGUCUUGACGGUACCUAAUCAGAAAGCCACGGCUAACUACGUG
rnacentral:rRNA from 1 species